rnacentral:rRNA from 1 species
CCUACGGGAGGCAGCAGUGAGGAAUAUUGGUCAAUGGGCGCGAGUCUGAACCAGCCAAGUAGCGUGAAGGAUGACUGCCCUACGGGUUGUAAACUUCUUUUAUCAAGGAAUAAAGUGAGGCACGUGUGCCUUUUUGUAUGUACUUUAUGAAUAAGGAUCGGCUAACUCCGUGCCAGCAGCCGCGGUAAUACGGAGGAUCCGAGCGUUAUCCGGAUUUAUUGGGUUUAAAGGGAGCGUAGAUGGGUUGUUAAGUCAGUGGUGAAAGUUUGCGGCUCAACCGUAACAUUGCAGUUGAUACUGGCAGCCUUGAGUACAGGUGAGGUAGGCGGAAUUCGUGGUGUAGCGGUGAAAUGCUUAGAUAUCACGAAGAACUCCGAUUGCGAAGGCAGCUUACUAGACUGCCACUGACAUUGAUGCACGAAAGUGUGGGUAUCGAACAGGAUUAGAUACCCUUGUAGUC